ACGCGAAGAACCUUACCUGGACUUGACAUCCUUGGAACCUUACAGAAAUGUUUGGGUGCCCUCGGGAACCAAGUGACAGGUGCUGCACGGCUGUCGUCAGCUCGUGUCGUGAGAUGUUGGGUUAAGUCCCGCAACGAGCGCAACCCAUGUCGUUAGUUACUAACAUUUAGUUGAGGACUCUAACGAGACUGCCGGUGACAAACCGGAGGAAGGUGUGGACGACGUCAAGUCAUCAUGGCCCUUAUGUCCAGGGCUACACACGUGUUACAAUGGCAGGCACAACAGGUCGCUACUUAGUAAUAAGAUGCUAAUCCCUAAAACCUGUCUCAGUUCGGAUUGAAGGCUGCAACUCGCCUUCAUGAAGUAGGAAUCGCUAGUAAACGCAGAUCAGCACGCUGCGUUGAAUACGUUCUCGGGUCUUGUACACACCG
rnacentral:rRNA from 1 species